rnacentral:lncRNA from 1 species
GGUAAGGGUAAGCGAAAGAAGGGGGGAGUAACACAGUGUUGGUUGUUAAUAUCUUAUAUGUUAUGAUAGCUAUCUUCCAGCACAGGAUAGGGAGGAAAUAAUGAGUGUUUUUACUUUUCAAUAGAUUCUUUCAUUAGAUAGAAUUAUCCUAUUUUGGAAUAUAAGAGCAAAAGACAAGCAUAUUGUGGAAUAUAAGAGCAAAAGAAAAGUCAUCAAUCAUAAGAAAUAGAUUCCCGCCUCGCCUGUGCUUCGUAUCAUAAGAAUUGGCGCUUGCUUUCUUAUCCAGUGCUUCGUAUCUGAUCGCGCUAUAGGGGAUUCGGUACCGCAAUAAUAGGUCUUUCUGUCUGCCUAACAAAAGAGAAAUGGCCGUAAGUCUACUUAGUUCAUUCAUGCUCAUAAGAUUCUACAAGGGCCAAGCAACUAAGCGCCAAGCAACUACGCAAGUCC